rfam:Oscillatoriales cyanobacterium CG2_30_44_21 cg2_3.0_scaffold_1848_c, whole genome shotgun sequence.
CGGGAUGUAGCGCAGCUUGGUAGCGCACCACUUUGGGGUAGUGGGGGUCUUGGGUUCAAAUCCCAACAUUCCGA